rnacentral:rRNA from 1 species
AUUGAACGCUGGCGGCAUGCCUUACACAUGCAAGUCGAACGGUAACAGGCCUUCGGGUGCUGACGAGUGGCGAACGGGUGAGUAAUGCAUCGGAACGUGCCCGGUCGUGGGGGAUAACGCAGCGAAAGCUGUGCUAAUACCGCAUACGAUCUGAGGAUGAAAGCGGGGGACCUUCGGGCCUCGCGCGGUCGGAGCGGCCGAUGUCGGAUUAGCUAGUUGGUGGGGUAAAGGCCUACCAAGGCGACGAUCCGUAGCUGGUCUGAGAGGACGACCAGCCACACUGGGACUGAGACACGGCCCAGACUCCUACGGGAGGCAGCAGUGGGGAAUUUUGGACAAUGGGCGCAAGCUGAUCCAGCAAUGCCGCGUGCGGGAAGAAGGCCUUCGGGUUGUAAACCGCUUUUGGCAGGAACGAAAAGCUCUGGGCUAAUACCCUGGGGUGAUGACGGUACCUGCAGAAUAAGCACCGGCUAACUACGUG